GUGCUUGUGGUGUAGUGGUUAUCACAUACGCCUAACACGCGGAAUGCCCCAGGUUAGAUCCCUGGCAGGCACA
rnacentral:tRNA from 1 species